CUACGGGAGGCACCAGUGGGGAAUAUUGCACAAUGGGCGCAAGCCUGAUGCAGCCAUGCCGCGUGUAUGAAGAAGGCCUUCGGGUUGUAAAGUACUUUCAGCGGGGAGGAAGGGAGUAAAGUUAAUACCUUUGCUCAUUGACGUUACCCGCAGAAGAAGCACCAGCUAACUCCGUGCCAGCAGCCGCGAGUAAUACGGAGGGUGCAAGCGUUAAUCGGAAUUACUGGGCGUAAAGCGCACGCAGGCGGUUUGUUAAGUCAGAUGUGAAAUCCCCGGGCUCAACCUGGGAACUGCAUCUGAUACGGGCAAGCUUGAGUCUCGUAGAGGGGGGUAGAAUUCCAGGUGUAGCGGUGAAAUGCGUAGAGAUCUGGAGGAAUACCGGUGGCGAAGGCGGCCCCCUGGACGAAGACUGACGCUCAGGUGCGAAAGCGUGGGGAGCAAACAGGAUUAGAUACCCGGGUAGUC
rnacentral:rRNA from 1 species